rnacentral:rRNA from 1 species
UACAGAGGGUGCGAGCGUUGUUCGGAAUUACUGGGCGUAAAGCGCGCGCAGGCGGCUCUUUAAGUCUCGUGGUCAAAUGCCGGGGCUCAACCCCGAGCGUGCCGGGGAUACUGGAGGGCUGGAGACAGGUAGAGGCAAGCGGAAUUCCGGGUGUAGCGGUGGAAUGCGUAGAGAUCCGGAAGAGCACCGGAGGCGAAGGCGGCUUGCUGGACCUGGUCUGACGCUGAGGCGCGAAAGCGUGGGGAGCGAACAGG